rnacentral:lncRNA from 1 species
CAGAUCUAAAAUAUGGAAACUGCUAGGUUCUGCCAUAUUUGGGGUUUCCGAUUUCGACAUAUGUGUUGUUUCCCCCAUCUUCUUUGUUGCUUAUUAUCUUAUUGUUGAAUUUGAUUUUGGGGGUUUUUUAUUUCGCCAGAGCAUCGAUUUUUUGGUUUGGUUUCUGGCGUCCCAAUCGGUGAUAUGGGUCUCCUACGAAGUCUCAGC